ACUGCAUUUCCAAUCCGUUUAGUCAGUCUCGUACCCCAAGCGUAUACCCUUUUUUCUUUGCGUAAGACUAUUGAAAGCAUACCACUCGUUCUUGAUCUAUUUUUUUCUUUCCCUCAAAAGCCUUUAUAGUCGAGCUUCCACUGCCCCCCUAAAGAAAGAAAUGGGUGCACAUAACUAACUCAACGACUUACGGGCACUCAUCUCAUGGAUAGCCCUUCGCCAGAGUUGGUGCUUUUGCGCCAUAUAGUUCAGUCCCUUGGCAAAGAAGGUUGACUUCUCUCUCACUUCAUUAGUACUGUAACUUCUCUUUUAUUUAGCUUAGAAAGGAAAGUCUUUCCCUCUAUAAAAGAGGGAUUAGUACCCCUCCAAGACUGACUUCUUAGCCGAAUAGUUCUCCUUAUGAUAUGCAACCUCAAAACCCGAUCGUUGAGCAUUGACGAGGGUAACUCAGAUAACUGGAUUGAUUGGCCUAUCCCGGAACUGGAAGCGCGGAUCAAUAUCAGCUGUCUUCAACUCGGGAAUGGAAGCCAAAGUAAAUUACUUCUCGGGCUACUUCCCAUUCAAUUUCAUAGAUCGUGAGUGGGUCUGUCG
rnacentral:misc_RNA from 1 species